GUCUUUUUAGGGACAUCCAACAAAAUUGAAACAAUACAAAGAAGGUCAGCAUGGCCCCUGCGUAAGGAUGACACGUACAGAUUGAGAAAUGGUCCAAUUUUCG